UCACCGAAACGCCGCUCUGAAGAGUGCGCCACCACGAUCUUGCACGUGAUUGUGCCCACCUACGCAUACACAUGCAUCAUACAUACAUAAACAUUUAUAUAUAUAUAUAUAUCACAUACAGCAACAAGACACAUUACCGUUUCUCUCCGCCUCUGUCCCUCUCUCGUCCCCUUCCCCGCCUUUUCCGCUCCUUUCAUACACGGCCCGCCGCUGGUUGAUCCACGCGUGUAUGCCUCACAUAGAAACGAUACAUCCGUCUUCACUGCUUCCCAGUUCGCGGUGCCGCUACGCUUCUUCUUCGCUGCCGGCCGCCGCUGUCGUGCUUUACCGUCCCCUUCGCAACCUUUCUUGUUCCCGCUUUUGUACCCAGCCUUUCCACCUACACCUACACACCCCGAGCACAGCAUCGAGCACCGGUUUCGCAGAGUUCUCUGUAGGAGUGAUCGCUGCAGCAGGUGCUGUGUAUCUGUGCAGCACCUUUCUGCUGCUCUGUUUGAGAGAUCCGCUGCUAACGCACACACACACACACGUCAGUUCAUCCCUCCCUCCCUCUUCCGUCUUGUAUCGCAUCGUGAGCGUUUGGGAACAUCUUUGGCGCUCACCUCCUCCUCCUCAUUCCCCCCCCCCAUCGCCACCUCGGCACGAGUAGGCGCUGCCCCCGUAACAAGUCGCAUCAAGCGCGGCCUUAUAUAUAUAUAUAUGUAUGUGUGUGUGUGUGUUGCAUCGGCGUGAUUCUUCGCUCUCAUCCGCUCUCGCUGCCUCUUCCACUUCAUCCAUAGAAACAAUGCGGCCCACAUGUGUUUGUGCGGUGCGCGCCGUGCGCAUGUAUGUGCCAAUGCGCGUCGCGGCAACUGGCGGUGCCACCUCAUCUGCAGCGUCUCCCGCUGGCGGCAACGCCUCCACAUCGAGUGAGGUGCGUGCCGCUCGGCGCAUUACAGAGGCCGUUCUCAGUGCACGCGCGAAGCACAAGCUUCAGCAGCGGCAGCCGUCUCCGCCUGCGCCAGCUCCGCCAUCGUUCCGCGCAAAGGCGAAGGCGCCGCGCUCACCGGAGUCGGGCAUAGAGGAUGGGGUUGUGAAGGACACGGUGACGGCGGAGGUGCAAACUGCUGCGCGACUCGCGCUCUCCUACGGCAAGUCCGCCUUCAUGACGCACCUUGUUCACCAGCACGACGACGCCCACCAACGCCCCGGCACAGCCUCUGCGUCGGAAUGGGAUCAGCCGAUGGUGAGCGACGCCGGCGAGCCUGAAGCCUCGGCGGUGACGGCGUCCUCCGAGACAUGUGCAGUGUUGCCCCUUCGUGCCGGCACACCAAAGAUCCCGCGCGCCGCCGCUGGAAUGCCGGGGCUGCAGAUGGCCAUCGACAAGUGGUGGGACGACCUCACCGACGAGGCGAGGGUGCGAUGGAUCACAUCGACGCCGCAAGGCCGCCGCGCACUGCAGCAUGCGACGAAGCUCACAAAGUUUGGGAAUGUCUUUUGUGGCCGAGGUAGAAGCAGCAACUCCGGUGCACACGUGGUGCCCUCCAUGGAGUCGAUGCUAACCAAGUACAAGAGCACGCUCGUUCAGCCGCGAUUGCCACGAGCGGCGGCAUUGGUCCCAUCACCCAAGGAAUCGAUUCUCCGAAUGAAGCUACACGAUGAGAAGGACGCGUCUGCAAACCCCAGCUGGAAGUCGACCACGGUGUCCAGCGCCUUAGCUGGCAUGAUGCACGCUGCGUCCGAAAACAACGCGAACCGUCGCCGCCUGCGCGACAGGGCCGAUGCAGUGCGACGAGAGGAGCAGAGAAAGUUGUGGCACCAGGCACUCGUCCAGUUCCUCGGCGGCGAGUCAGCGUUUACGUUUGUCCACGACGUUAAGGAUUUACAGCAGCCUCGCACAGAAGCGGAGCAGGCGGUGAAGCGAGAGGCAGAUGCCCAAAGUGGAGGAGGAACCGGGCAUGCUACAACAGUGGCGCCUAACACACCGGCGGCGACAGCCACUGGUAACGCCACACCGAAAGAGAUGGCGGAUGCCGGGGCGCCAGUUGCCUUUUCCGACGGCCUGCUGGAUAUGUGUGAAGGCCUUGGCAUCCGCAGUCCGCGGCGCGCGUAUGUUCUCUCACGUGUCUUGCCUGAAGUCGAUGCAGCGAACGCCUCCGAGGGCCCGCCGCUUUCGUUAGCGGAGGUGCAAGACUUGGCGAAGAAGUGUUCCACCGAGUACGACGAGCUCCGCGACGACGCGGUGCGGAUGGCGCAUGAGGCCGGCUUUGCCUCUGCCGAGGAUGCCGUCCGUGCCUUCGAGCGAGAGCAGCUGGCGCUCGCGGUGGCGCGCGUGCAGGCAAGGCUACUCAUGUUCCAGGAAAAUCUCCCGCUUCUGAAGAGGUGCGUGAACGUCCUUAGCAAGUAGCACCUGCUUCGUCACCAGCGCUGUCUUGUGUCGUAGCGAAUUGUUUGUGCGCACCGCGCAUCUCUCCUUCGCUCCUGUCUUUCACUUUCUACUAUGCUGUCUCGUGCGUAGCGCAUGGGUGAUGCCUGCACACAU
rnacentral:misc_RNA from 1 species